GCAUCAUACGAGAAAGAACUACAGAUUCCCUAGUAACUGCGAGUGAAGCGGGAAAAGCUCAAAUUUAAAAUCUGGCGGUUGCACCGUCCGAGUUGUAAUCUGGAGAAGCGUUUUCCGUGUUGGACCGUGUACAAGUCCCUUGGAACGGGGCGUCAUAGAGGGUGAGAAUCCCGUCCAUGACACGGACUACCAAUGCUUUGUGAUACGCUCUCGAAGAGUCGAGUUGUUUGGGAAUGCAGCUCAAAAUGGGUGGUAAAUUCCAUCUAAAGCUAAAUAUUGGCGAGAGACCGAUAGCGAACAAGUACCGUGAGGGAAAGAUGAAAAGCACUUUGGAAAGAGAGUUAAACAGUACGUGAAAUUGUUGAAAGGGAAACGCUUGGAGUCAGUCGCGUCUGUCGAGACUCAGCCUUGCCUUCGGGCUUGGUGUACUUCUCGGCCUGACGGGCCAACAUCGAUUUCGAACGGCGGAUAAAGGUCUGGGGAAGGUGGCACCUUCGGGUGUGUUAUAGCCCCUCUCCGUAUACGUCGUCUGGGAUCGAGGACCGCAGCACGCCCUUGUGGCUGGGGCCCUUUGCCCACAUAACGUGCUUAGGGAUGUUGGCGUAAUGGCUUUAAGCGACCCGUCUUGAAACACGGACCAAGGAGUCUAACAUGCCCGCGAGUGUUAGGGUGUAAAACCCUUGCGCGUAAUGAAAGUGAAAGUUGGGACCUCUGUCGAGGAGGGCACCGACGCCCGGCCCUGAACUCUUGUGACGGUGCUGCGGUAGAGCGUGUAUGUUGGGACCCGAAAGAUGGUGAACUAUGCCUGAAUAGGGCGAAGCCAGAGGAAACUCUGGUGGAGGCUCGUAGCGAUUCUGACGUGCAAAUCGAUCGUCAAAUUUGGGUAUAGGGGCCCAAAGGACUUAAUCGAAACCCAUCUAGUAGCCUGGUUUCCUGCCGAAA
rnacentral:rRNA from 1 species